AGUGUUGGGAUUUAGCAAUGUGAUUCUACCAUGUGGGAGUGAGCUCAGGUUGUUAGAAAUGGAAGCAAGCCUUAUUUAUCACUAAACCAUCUCGCCAGCCCUUGUUUUGUUUCGUUUUAGACUUAUUUUUAUUUAUGUGUGUGUGUGCCUGUGUGUCAUGAAUGUGCAGUAUCUAUGGAAGCCAAAAGAGGCACUGGAGAGCCUAGAGUUAUGUUACAGGUGGUGUGAGUUGUCCAUGCUUGGCACUGGAUUUGGGUCCUCUGGAAUGGUGGUGGUGAAAGACCCCGAGAGGAGCCCCUCACUCAGGCCUCAGGACAGUAGCGGACCCCCAAGAACUCACGAGAGACCAAGCUUAAUGCAAACCACAUGAGGCUUUAUUCGGGGAAAGCCAGAGCUCUGGGGACGACUCAUAUCCCAUGCAGGGGUAGAGGAGUCGACCUGGAGGGGAAACAGGUCCCAGUUUUUAUAGGCCCUCAGGGGGGAAAGGAGAAGGGGGAGUAGGGGAUUUCCAGAUCUAUUCUCAAGAAAUAGGUAUGGGAGGGGUACAAGGAAAGAGUCUGGUGAAGAUGUAGCAACUCUGGAUUGGCCCGGCUGUGGUUGCUGGGGAGAUUUUCUGACUCUUUCCCAACAAACAAUACCAUAAACACCUGGCAAUGGGCUUCAUCAGUGGGCACACACAUGGGUCAAGGAAUGGUCAAAACAUUGGCAGACACACGGGUUCAAAGAGUGGCCAGAGCAUUGUGCACCUCUAUUUUUCUAAAUCAGUGAAGCUAGUUCUGCUAACAAUGAAAUCUAUUUUUUCAAUUUUUGGGCUUCUGUGACCUUUUAUAUUUUGUCAGGAUCUUUCAGUGGAAGCAGCUGACAAGAGAGCUCAGUCAGACACUUCAAAGACACCAAGAUCAUUCUACUAGUAACUGCCAGUGGAGUUAAGGCUACCCCUAGCCAUUUAACCAAUAAUGCUUAGGCGACCACUAAAGUAGAAUCUAGACUGUUAACCAGAACAAAGUUGUAGCCAAUAAGGCAAGAUUUUGUACAAGAGGAGAUAAAGAUGCAUCCUGUGUAGCCCUCUUAUGGGAAAAGAGAGCUGAUACAGUAAUGUUAACCUCAGAAGAAAUGAAGGGGAUAAGGGGGUUUGAGGAAAUCCCCAUAUAUGUGAAGGCCUAGAACAAAUUUUAGAUAUAGCCAGAGGGAAAACCCACUCUUCAUUGGAUUAGAAAAUUCUAAUUAAGAUCACCCCACUACAUUUGAGACUAAUGAUGUCAUCAAUUCUGGCCAAUUGCCAACGUGUUGGAGAAGGUAUUGCCUUCUUCAAGUGGACUGGGAACCCGAAAUGGGUAGGAGUAUAUCCCUGCAGCCUAUUGUACAGAAUCGAAGCAAACCAGAACCGUGGACAGACUCACUCAAAAGGUGGCCUUUUGUAGGCAAAGGCAGGGCAAGACCAUGGGCCCAGACCAACCCUACAUUCCUUCAGAGAAUCAAAGAUAUAAGGACCAUUCCAAAGAUAAGAUCCGAUACCAACAAGACAGCCCCAAGGAGGAGGAUUCAGAAACACAUUCCUAUGCAGACCAAAGAAUGAUAUUGGAGACUUACCCUACUAUGCUUUGGAUGGUAUUCCUACCAGAAUGCUGAGACCAUGAACACUUCACCCUGACUCUUAUGUACACUAGGAAUGCAUUCUGUGCCCAAGAUGGUCUCUGUGCAGCUAUUGGGAAUACAGUUUGGUAUAGCUAUAGUAACGAAUGGAGGAAAGCUAAGGUCCACUUUGUACAGACUUUGAGAGCCAUAGUCUCCAAUGACCAAGAGGAUGUCAAAAAACACCAAUUUUAAGGGGGGAAAGAAACCCAUUGAAAUACCAUUUAACACAGAUUUGGAGAAAUAUCACAGCAGCAUCCGCCAUCUACAGCCACUAAAGAGAACUGUCUCCUAGAGCAUCCAUCCACCUGACAAUGAAGAACAAGGGGAGAAUAAGGUUUGAGAUACCAGACAUGGAAGACUCCAUGUUUGACUGUGAAAUGGCAGCAAACACCAAACUCCACUCAGUGUUCUUCACUCCACACGUAUGGCAGAUGAACCCCACGACUGGCUGCCAGAACAUCAACCAAGAGUGGACUUGAUACAGUUUGUAAGCAGAGGAUGCCCUAGAGCCUAUGCCUCCUGCAUGCCAAGGUACCACAUGAGAAAGGCAAACAACAGAACCCUACACUGGGGGGACACUGCAGGUAUGGAUACUUUCCAAACUAGAACCCUGGAGACAUACACACCAAAGACUCCUGCAUUACUUCUACAAGAUUCUUCUACUACUACAGCUCAAGGAAUGAGGUCCUGGAGACUUUGUGGCCCAUAAGCCCAUACUCAAUAUGCCACAUGCAGGAACUCUGCACAAGGGACUUCAAUUUGAUGAGGUAUGUGUCUUCCCUCUUACAUGGGAUCCUGUGGAAGCAAAGAAGACAGCUUGACAUUGUCAUUGAUAGAGGAGAAGACGACAAGAACUAAUUCUUCACAGCUCCAUGACAAGGUGGCAUUUGUCAGCCCCUCUGUCUCCUCACCACUGCUUAUCAGAGCGCCCAUGAUGAUGCCUGAUCUUAGCCUCCCUGCAAGACAGAUUUACACGUAGGAUCCAGACAAUCUCACUUUCCUUGGACCCCAAAUCAUAGCUCCCACCUUCAGAACUCUGCUCUGAACCUGAGCUUCUGAGAGUAUCAGUCUUCUACACCUCAGGAAAUAAAUUUGUU
rnacentral:lncRNA from 1 species